GUGGGGAAUAUUGCGCAAUGGGGGAAACCCUGACGCAGCGACGCCGUGUGAGGGAAGAAGGCUUUCGGGUCGUAAACCUCUGUCAGAAAGGAAGAACCUCCCAUAUCCGAAUAGGGUGUGGGACUGACGGUACUUUCAAAGGAAGCACCGGCUAACUCCGUGCCAGCAGCCGCGGUAAUACGGAGGGUGCUAGCGUUAAUCGGAAUCACUGGGCGUAAAGCGCGCGUAGGCCGCUUCUUAAGUCGGACGUGAAAGCCCUCGGCUCAACCGGGGAACGGCGUUCGAUACUGGGAGGCUUGAGUCCUGGAGAGGGUGGCGGAAUUCCGGGUGUAGGAGUGAAAUCCGUAGAUAUCCGGAGGAACACCGGGCGAAGGCGGCCACCUGGACAGGUACUGACGCUGAGGCGCGAAAGCGUGGGGAGCAAACAGGAUUAGAUACCCCGGUAGUCC
rnacentral:rRNA from 1 species